UCUUAAGCACGCAUGAGAUUAAGAUUAAAGAUUUAUCGGUAAGCGAUGGGGAUGCGUUCCAUUAGGCAGUUGGCGGGGUAACGGCCCACCAAACCUACGAUGGAUAGGGGUUCUGAGAGGAAGGUCCCCCACAUUGGAACUGAGACACGGUCCAAACUCCUACGGGAGGCAGCAGUGAGGAAUAUUGGUCAAUGGGCGAGAGCCUGAACCAGCCAAGUAGCGUGAAGGAUGACGGCCCUACGGGUUGUAAACUUCUUUUGUGCGGGAAUAAAGGAGCCUACGUGUAGGUUUUUGCAUGUACCGUAACGAAUAAGCAUCGGCUAACUCCGUGCCAGCAGCCGCGGUAAUACGGAGGAUGCGAGCGUUAUCCGGAUUUAUUGGGUUUAAAGGGAGCGUAGACGGGUUUUUAAGUCAGCUGUGAAAGUUUGGGGCUCAACCUUAAAAUUGCAGUUGAAACUGGAGACCUUGAGUACGGUUGAGGCAGGCGGAAUUCGUGGUGUAGCGGUGAAAUGCUUAGAUAUCACGAAGAACUCCGAUUG
rnacentral:rRNA from 1 species